AUUUUUGUCGCCGGAGAACCUCGCUACCGUCGCCGGAGAACUCUUCCGGUAAGGGUUUUAUUUGAGGUUUCUGUCCUUUUUGAAUUCCGAGGGUACUAUAGUCACUGCCUGUUGGUUUCAGUCGUCGUGAUUGGAAUUCGUAGCCGUUGUCACUUGAGGUGGCUGUCGGGCUGCCGCCGAGCUGGUACGGAGACCGCCGCUGUGUCGGUUCAAACGUUCUUCCUUCGGUUUGAGUUGUUGAGACUGUUGCAAAAGUGGCUGGGAGCUGAGGUUUUAGUUCCCGUCAGUUCGGUUUGAGGCGAAAAGGACUUGAUGAGGCGUUUGGGUUAUGGAAUUGCGUUUUGAGGUAGGGGCUUUUUCCAAAAGUUAUAGUU